CGCUGGCGGCGUGCCUAAUACAUGCAAGUCAAGCACUCUCGUUUAGAUUGAAGGAGCUUGCUCCUGAUUGAUAAACCAUUUGAUGAGUGGCGGACGGGUGAGUAACACGUGGGUAACCUGCCCUAAAGUGGGGGAUAACAUUUGGAAACAGAUGCUAAUACCGCAUAAAACCUAACACCGCAUGGUGUAGGGUUGAAAAGAUGGUUUCGGCUAUCACUUUAAGAUGGACCCCGCGGUGCAUUAGUUAGUUGGUGAGGUAAAGGCUCACCAAGACCGUGAUGCAUAGCCGACCUGAGAGGGUAAUCGGCCACACUGGGACUGAGACACGGCCCAGACUCCUACGGAGGCAGCAGUAGGGAAUCUUCCACAAUGGACGAAAGUCUGAUGGAGCAACGCCGCGUGAGUGAAGAAGGUUUUCGGAUCGUAAAACUCUGUUGUUGGAGAAGAAUGUAUCUGAUAGUAACUGAUCAGGUAGUGACGGUAUCCAACCAGAAAGCCACGGCUAACUACGUG
rnacentral:rRNA from 1 species